CCUUUCUUUUUUCAAAAGUAAAUGGAAAAAAAACACCCUUUGGCUGAACCAUGCAAUCUCUGAAAAGUAAAAGUUCAGGCAUCCUUCCUUCAGGCGAUGUUAGAGCUGCAAUGCGCUGUUCUGCCCCAUGUUUUUUAUUCUGACCUGUGCUAUCAUUGCUGAAGAAGGAAAUGUGGUUAGUGGAGAAGAAGAAAGGAGAUAGGGUUUUACUCAUCACCUUUUUCUUUUAUAAAAUAGGGGUUAUAUUUACUCUUUUCUGUGGUGCUCUAUGCUUUCCUCCUGCUCCCGCAAAACAACUGAGUCUCUGCUUAAGUUCAAGGCUGCAAAUAAGCCCUUUCACUGCAAUCUCCCUUUAGGGGAAGCCACCUCAGGCACAAGGGCUUUGUGCAGUGGAGGCUGAUGAAGUACCAGGGAGUCCUGCUCCAGUGGAGUCCCCAGGGAGACAAUACCACCUUCCCCUGGCAGUCACACAUCAUUGGACAGGUUCCUAGAAACCACUAACAGCUCAAACAUUAUAGGAUUUUCUUCUUCACAAUGGCAUGGCAGAUACCACCAGCAAGGAAAAAAGAUGCCAUUGAAGCUAAGAAUGCUUUAGAACUGCUGUGGGAGGAAAAAAGUGUGGAAAGUGCUUACGAAAAUAUGUCCCAUGCUACAAAGAAAGAAGAGAGUUGCUUCUGCCACACUGUGUGCUGCCUUUCUCAACAGGCUUAUUCAGCAGAACCAGAGAAGAUCAUCAUUGGACCAAGACUGCAAAGGCAUCAAUUUAUGUGUCGUCCAAGAUGACAGAUCAAGCAAGCAAGUAUGCCUGAUAAGGAAUUUGAACACCCAACUCUUUUCAGAUCUGUGAAAAUCCUUAUUUACAAAAAUGAGAAGUGCAUUGCUUCCAAAACUGACUGUAAGUAUCAGGACAACAAAGUUAUCCCAAAAUCCAGAAGCAUGGCUGGAGGGUAGAAUAAGGACAAUGUCACACUCCUGUUUUAAAAGGAAUUGCUCCCAGUUCCCUAAAGGCAGCUAAUUCAGGAGCUACCAGUUAAAAGUAACAAGGACAAUGCAGUAGAAAGUGAGAGUGAAGGGACUGCAUGAAAAUCUCUGCUUUUUGAUUCACUUUGUUUGAAAGGAUGCUGCAAUCUGCAAUGCAACUAGUAAUGUCCUAUCGAUGUAUAAUGGUAACUGCUACAUCAUCCUCCAGGCUCCUCAUUGCCUGGAUCAAGAUGUAGCAAAAGAAAACCCUUUGAUCUCAUCACAGUUACUUGAGUGUAUGAGGCAGGGUGAAUCUAGGAUGUCUUAGGCUCUAAAAUAUAUAAUGUUUGUAUCUGCUACAUCUGCUCCUUCUUUUAGUUUAAUCAUUCAAACAUCAUGAGGAAACUUGUUGCUUACAAAACACGUAUAGUUUGUGUUGCAAGCAAGGACUACGUGUAUCAAACUCCAGUAUCUUUUUCUCUGUGCAAACAUUUUGAGUAACUGUGAUACAGAGAUGCUGGCAGGCCUCCAAGAAGAAUUCAGGAUGGAAGCUAAACGGCCUAAGUUGUUAUGGUUCAGCAAACAACAUCUCUUUUGUCUGGUAGAUCCCACAGUGUCUUAAUAAUUUCUGGACAUAGAACAGUAAUGCCUCAUAGCUGGGUGCCUAUGGCUUGCUGUAAGAGUCAUCAACAUAGGGAACUGAGUCCAUGGACUUGGAAAUCCUGUGUCCUUCCAGAGGGAGCUGAAACAUAUACACGUCCUGCUGCUACCAGAAGUUGUAUAAUACAUGAUGAUUGCUGAACUAUGCAAUCUUCCUGGGUCUGAGUUCUUGUUCCCAAUAAAAGAUCAAGAAGAGAAAUUAUGAUGUCUGUCUUGAGUCUUGUAAGGUGAAAAAGUAAGUGAUGACUUUUGGGGAUGUUAAGAAAAAAAGUCUGGGAGGAGACUUUCUGUUCCAUCAUGUUUCAGGACACCAGUCUGGUAGAGAAAUCUGUAAGCAGAAACCAGUGGAGAACAGCUUCCAGGAGACACAUCUGCACUCCCACCCUUUCCUGGAGCAUAAGUUUUUCACUGCUUUAUGUCAAUUAAUGGUUGUAAACACUUGUCAAUCAUUUAAUGCCAUAUGAUUCCACUUGAGAGUCAGGAUUUUUUCUCUGAUAGAUCAGCUGCAAUUGUACAUGACAGCAUAAGCUACGUUUCUUCAGUUUUCAUCCUGGCUAAUAGUUGUUCCUGCUUUCAAUCCUGAAGCCUCAUUUGUAGUAGAUUAAUGCAAUUAAACUACUGCAUUUCAUUGGCAGGUGAAAGGAUUCUAGUGCAGACUGUAUUCCAACUUGUAAAGAGAUUAGCAGUCCUUCAAAAUAAAAGGCACUAAUGAACCGAAACUAAGCAGUGUUCCUUCAGAGUAAUACAGCACUUUCAGUCUUGCUUUUUCCUUGCAGCUUCUUCCUUUAAGUGACUUUAAAAAGCAACUUCUGAGGAUGUUUUUAUCUCUGCAAGUUGCUCAGAGGGAGUACACUGCUGAAGAAGGAGUUAAUGAGGUUCUCAAUCCAUCUGCCAGUCUCCCCUCCCACCCCAAUUUCUUGAGAACAACAUAGCUCAGAUUAGUGUCAUCUUUCAUUAUCUUCCCUGGGAGCUGGGACAGGUCAUCCCUUCUCUAAGCAGAAUGGGUGAUGAAAUAUUUUUUUCAGCUAAAUUAUCUAAGUUGGAGUCUGGCACGCAGAUGAUGAGGAUACAGAAAGCAGAGUAAGUUUGCAUUCAUGUGUGUGUCUCUGUGUGUGUAUGUGCACAUUGCAAAAGGAUGGGCAAAUGCUUCCUUGGAUCACAGGGCUGCAUUCAGCCAAUCUCCAAGGGUUAGAAAGGCCUUUGUUUAUGCCAGUCACUGAGAGGUGAUGAUCUGAGCUGUGCUGGGAUUCCCAACAUUCAGCUGCAUUGGCCAACAGGAUGACAAUCCCCCUCUGCUAUUGUGUAAUUGCCCUUCACCUGGUGGAGGUUUUGCAGUAGACCUGUUAUUGUGGCACUGCAAAGGGCAGAUCACGCUCCAGCAGGCUGUAAGCACAACCACCAGACUGAUGGAUUCAGCUCUCUCUGUUGGACAUGCUCCAAGCACACACAUUCUUCCUGAAUUUUUGCUGUCACCAACAGUCAUUGAGAGCAUCUGAAUGACCCAGAUACUGUUCUCAUUUACAAAACCUUGCCUGUCUUCCUGGAGAUAAAUGUAGUUGAUUCCCAUUUUGAUCAUGAGACAUGAGCAGGGGUGGGAAAGAAGAACUUUAUCCACUCUUAUCCACUGUCAUGUUAAAAUGUCUAUAAGCAAACCAGUUUUUAACUCUCUCCUGGACACUUGAGAGGCUGAAAAAUGACAAAUAUAGUUUGUCAGUAAACACAGUGUCUAUAGGAGUUUGCAAUACCUCCCCUGAAAGAGGUUUAAAUGAAAAAAAGAAUCAAAUAUUUGCUGUCUCCAAGGGUGUGAUACUAAAGAGGUAAAUGGCCUCUAUAUAAGAUAUAAGUCUUUGGAGCUGCACUGGUUUUGGAACUGUCCUACAGAGCUGGUCCUUGCUGCUGUGCAAUUAAAUAUUGGGGGAGAUUGAUGCCACUGCUUUCCUCUGCUACCCUGUACAGGUACUAGGAUCUUCCACUUUUGUGUUAUUCAGUGAACAAUGUAGAAUAUUAUCCAGAAGAUGAGCACCCUCCUUUGGUGGCAUCAUGCACGCAGGAAUUUCUGUGCUUUUCAUUUUCUAUUCUGUCCUUGGUUCCACACCAUGUAUCUUGAGAACCAGAAAAGGUUCUCCUAACACUUCUAAUUCCACUAGAGCAAUUUCUGUUCUCAGUAGUGGUUUAGAUUUCUGUCUUGGCUCACAUUCAAGGAGAUCAACCACAUCGUGCUUUCAGGAACCAGACCUUGAGCUUUUGAGAGCUGUCUCUGCUUAGGGAAUCAUUAUGAUAGUGUUUGCAAACCUGUGUUUUCUCACGCUUUGGGAAAUAAAGACACGUCAGAACUCACCUUUUAAAACAAGCUCUAAUUCACCUUCUAAAAUAAGGUCUGACCUGUGGUUUCUAUGUGGAGAAUGAGGGAACUCUUCUUUGUCAAGAUAUACUUGAAAUGAGCAAUCAUUUGGAGGGGCAAUUGCCUCAGGGUCUCAUUGCCUCACCUCUUUUCUUUACUAUUGUUUUACACUGCAGUGGGCACCUUUUAUUACCAUUCAUGGCUUUCAGGUUUCACAUGGAAAGGUGUAAGAAUACACGCCAGACAUGCUGUCACGACCCUAUAGAUCAGGUCCACAACACUUAUAUCCCAGAGAUUUCGUUGGAGCUAAGUGCCUCGAUAAUUGUGCGUCUGAGUCCAUACACCUAAGAAAGAUUUCAGCUGUUGUUAACGUCAGCCUCCACAUUCUCACUUUCUUUUGUUAAUUCAAGCGAGCAGUUUACAGAAAUGUUUAAUGCCCUGUUCAGACCCAGUGAACCAGGGUCAUGUCAGCCUCUUGUAAUGAUUUACCACUGAAUGGUGACUGUGUUAUUGUUCUGUAAGCCAAGUAUUUUUUAUUUCUUCCCAGCACUCAGAAAUGCAGUCCUGAAAUAUGCAAGAACUGUGUGUGGCUGAGAGUCAAACUGGAUUUAAGACUUUUUGCUUGUGUGCAGGAUAGCUCAAAAAAUUAAAUCAAACCAAGGUCAUCCUGUGUGCCUCGUACAAGGAGGUUCAGGUCUGCUCUCAAACCCACUGGUUUCACUGGCUGUGAGAUACAGAAAACCAUGUUGUUGGUUCAUCAGCCCACCAACAGACAGCAGAUGCCCGCAGCUGAUGGCUUGUGCUUUCUGAUGCCAGUCUAGCUGCAGCCUGCAGCCCCCGCUGCUCUCCCCCCCUUCAAAAAGGGACUCCUGAUGGGCUGAUGAUGUUUGUUAUCUCCCCAAAAAUCACAGUGCUGAUCCUCGGUUGCACAGGCCCGCUGCUGAGAAGCUGCAUUCUGCUAGUGGUGUGCCAUGGGGUAUAUUUCAAGCUUUCUGUAUUAAUGGCAUAGCAUGAGGCUAAGCAGCAGGGGCUGCUGCCUGAGAACCUUUCAAGACACCAGCAUUUCAACUUAUUUAUUCUUCAUCUGCUUUUGUUAAAAGAUCACCAAGAAUGUUUUCACUGGUCCCAAAAGCCUCAGCUUUGCCUUUUAUAAGAAGGAGUUGAUUCCUCUGCCCCAUAUUGUGGUCAUGCCACAGGAGGACAAGCCAUUCCCUUCAGGUACCUUUUUCACUGUCUGUGCAGGUAAACAGCGAAAUCUGUUAGCUCUCUUUUGUAUGUGUGUUUGUGUGUGUUCAUGUUGAUGGCCAAUGUAAGUGUCUCCACUGAGUAUUGGACAGUUAUACCUGUGCAGAGGAAUUGGACUUUCUAAACCUCCUCACUAGGCUUUUUGGCUGGUUAAGUGUUGCUUGUAGCAGUGGGCAGUAACAGCUGCCUUCUGAGGAAAUAUGCAUUUCUAUCAAUAAUGCUGUGUUUGUAGAGUUUGCUGCUUAAUUGACUUCAACUAUGCAUUCAGACUGAACAUUUCUGUCCAGCCAAGCAAGAUAAGCUGGUCAUACUUCAAUUAGAAUACAAACUCUGUUUGCUGCUGCCUUGCAUGAAGCCAAGAAGGAAGUCAGUGCAAAACAAGGAGAGUGAUGUAAAUUAGAAGCUGUUCCUCCUUCCUGAGAUGUGGUGACCUCUUGCACAAAUUGUUGUGUUCAACAAAAGUGUGACAUAUAGGCACCUGGAAUUGUAGGAGGGUUGAAAGGCUGAUGCAUUUCUAGACACUCCAGGUUUCAGCACUUCAACACCAUGAGACUGAACGGCCCUCCAAACAGUGGUCUUCAGAUUUGAACCUUCAGUAAGACACUGAUCUCUCUCUGCUUUUUGGAGUCCUUGAAUUCAACCCAAGUUCCAUAAACUGCUGAAGCACUUGCCAUUCAGGAGGAGGAAAUAUUCACAUUCAGGUGAUUUAGGGUCAAGAGCAAUUUGGAAUGGAGACUAUAGUUGAGGAGAGAAUGAAGAUGCAGGGGAUUUCAUAAAAGGAAAACACAACGUCUGUUUACAAAAAGUGGGUUGGACUCAAUGGUGAAGACCUCGCUUACACAAAGCAAGUGUCAAGCAGAAUUCUACAUCUGAUUCUACUGUCUUCAUCUAAUGAUCAAAUGGAAAAGAGCUGCAGUAACCAGAAGAGUCAUGGUAUUGACAUCUUCGGCAGAUGCAUCCCAAGCCCCAAAAGCAAGAGAAACGCCUAGGCUGGUGGACCACUGUGGUAAUGUACACGCCCCUUCCCUUGACAGACAGAGCCUUUGACCAAUGAGAUGCCUCAUUUCAGAGAAAUUUCUGGACCACUACCAUAAAUGAUCACAGCUCAGACUCGAGUAGGUAUAAAUGAAGAACCUCAUGGAGUUGGUCUCUCGUGGAGCAGUGGGUCUGCAGCGGAAGGUUUUCCUGCUUAGGUGGGCCAUCUAAGGCAUGUUCCUCAGGGAUAGGGACACCUUGCUGACCUGACCCAGAGACCCUGGAUAGCUUUGGAUGGAGUUGUUUAAGGACUGCUGUUAAACAUUUCGCCCUCCAAGGACCUUAAAGCUACCCAGGAUUUUUCACUCCCAGGCCGGGUGAAUGCAAAUUAUAGUGUGUCUUUAGCACGCUGAUAUGAUAACAAACUGAGACAUUGCAGAUUUACCAGUGAAAUACUGAGGAAGAAGACAUUUUGUUCUUAGAACUCUGCAAAGUGGGAGAAGCAGGUAAGAAAGAGGUAAGGCAAAGGUUGACUGGCUUCUACUGGCUUAGCAUUGCUUUGCAACCUACACAUUAAAAAUGUAUUGUACAGAAUAAAUGAGAUGGGAAUAGCUGAUGAAUAUCACGGAACUGAGAUGCUGAGAGCUUUGCUUCACUGUUGGAUAAUGCUGGGUAUUUGCUAGUAACAGAUGGUAGCCUUCUCAUCCAUAUUUCUGUGCCCUGAAUGGAGGAUUGCUUGAUGACACGUGCACAGUUACUGUCACUGUCAACUUUGUCAUUUUGUGGCCGCCUUACAGCUUUGAGGGCCUCCAUGUGUUUAAUCAUUUGUGCAGAGAUUUUAUGAGUCAGGUGCUUAAGAGUCUGGUAGGAGGGAAGAUAAAGCAAAUCAGUUCCAGUUACCCUUAAUCCCAGCAAAGCCAUAGCCUCUGAUCACUUAGCUGUUCCUAAAUGGCCUGUGUCUUGUAUUCUACAUUAACACUCAUGGUGUUAACUGGUAAUAUGCAGAGGCCAAAUAAACGAAUAUACCAAGGUGAACGCAUGUAUGGCCUGAUUCCUUCCACAGUGGAUGCCAGUGGGAAGGCACAAUAUGUGUUGAAUACCAGAAAACCAUUUGUGAGCUAAAAGAUCCUUCAGACCAGUUUGCAUUUUUCUGUUGCCCAGACCAAAAGCUACAUGAGGCUGGAGGAGACUGAAGUUUUCUUUGCAGUGGCAACGCACCAGAGCUGUGUGUCCCACCAAGAGUACCCUGGCCGCAGGACACCCGUGGCUCUGCACCCAGAGCGGUUGCAGCCCCUGCUUCCUGGCUGAGGUCUCCAGCUGCUACUGAGAACUCCUCUGAAUGCUUCUUCAGCUACGUUUUAAAUGGCAGAGAAAAAAAAAAAAAAGGUAUACAGAACAAAAAAGAAGGGUUUCUCUCAUCUUGGAAGAAAUUCAGGGAUUUCACAGCCUAGACUAAGGCACAUGGAGGUAUGCUAAUAGUGAGCUUUGAGCUGAACGCUUUCUUUUGCCUGUGUACAGGCCCCCCAGUGUCCUGGCUCCUUAAGAUCCUUUUCUGUAGCAUGACUAUAUCCAUACAUACCUGGGCUCUAGAUCCUGGCUCCUACUUUGGGCUAUGGAAGCAAGACCCAAGUCCUUCCUCUUGCGUGGCACUGUCAUUCCUUCACAUGCCCAGUGCCCCCUGUACCUGUGCAGGUGGUAUAUUUCAGCCACUUUCUACUGAGGGCAAAUGAAUACACCAGGAGAACUGCUCCACUGCACGUCCUUUGGAUGCUUCAUGAGCAAAGAGGCAUAUUACAUCCUCUCUGCAGAAAUCUGAGAUAAAACAAUUCCAACUUUCAUCAGCUGAGGCUAUAGCCUUAGUUUACAACUAUCAAACAACACUUCUUUUAAACCCAUGAUUUUUGCUUCUCACUUCUCAUCAUCUCUUCCGUUGCUUCUAGAAGAACUUGAUCUUAUUUGUUGAAAUAUUUUCUAUCUGGAGUGCCUCCAAACAUGAACUAUAAUUAAUUAUCAAGGAGAUCAUCACAAUUCAUAAUAAGUCGUGUGCUAAUUACAUGUACCCUAUGAGUAUUUUCCUCUCAUUUAUCUUGUGAGUGCUCAUUUUGCAGAUUAAUAAUGAACACGACAACUGCAAGUGAAACCAGUACUAUGGACUGUUAAAUAAAGGCAUGGGGGGAUUGAGCUCUUAAUUAAAACUGCUAUUUGCUUGGCAUUACAAAUGCUACUACCCAUCUUGCUUCCAGGAAAGGCUAUUUAUUAAAAAUGUAUUAUUCCCAAGAGACAUAAAAGAUGCUAAGGCACUCUGGUAACACCAAAAGAAGCACUUAGUAUUGAAAACUGUUUCAUACCCACACUGAAUUAAAGAAUCUAUGAAAAAUAUCAGCCUGUUAGAGCUGAAAAGCAAUACUCUCUCCUACACAGGCAAGCACAAAUAAGCUUUUCUUCUCUGAGCCAUAAUCCAAAGAACACAAGCCUUAGUUUCUUUCCCCAGUCAGGCUUGGCCUAGAUUCUCUUGCUAAUACUGUCUGUAGGCCUCACAAAUAAUUUUCGUAAUCAAGAGGUACAAUAAACCUGGCUGUGAGUAGUCAUCAUGCAGAACUAACUGUUUUGGUCACUGCCAGCUUCAUGAGCUAGAUGAGAAUCUGCAGUCUGGAAGUGAAAAAUGGUUUAUUUAGGUUUUUCAAAAGAGCACCUCAUUCCUCAUCACAAUCUAAAAAACAGUACUUGUGCUUCUAAGACAAGAAAAGAUAGGGGUAGAAAUGCAUGGUGUGACAUCUCUAGAUGUGAAGUUACAAGCCAGCACUGCAGCAGCACUUCAGAGAAAAUGCUUUCUUUUGGGCAUAAAAAUUCCACUGGCUCUUCAUAGUUUGAUUUGAGGUGGAAUUCUUGUGGCUGGAUGUCGGUGUACCAAGGCAAUUAGCUUUGGGAGUCAUAACUUCAUGUCAGAAAACCAGUCCUGGUUCUCUCAGUUCUGUUCAAAAUCCUAGCCCUACCUGCUUCAUUCCUUUUUGUAGCUUAGCUAAGUUUCUGAUUAAUAUGUUAGUUUAGGUAAAAAUUCUUUUCAUUCCUCUAAAAAGCCUCAUGUUAAAUUACUACAGAGUUUUGUUCUUCCCCUUCCCCAAUAACUUAAUCUUAGGGCUAACAUUUAAAAAAAAAUCAAUUUCUAAGAAGAAAAAUUUCACUUUCUCACAACCCUGGCACUUGAGAAAUAACAGGGAUGAAGAUGACCUCUUGUGGAAUGGCUCUAAAAAGCCUUCUGGUUUUUUUUAGCCCUUUUCAUACCCCAGAAGAGCUAAUGACAGUCCAUGUAAUUUCUUACUCAUUAGUUCAUGACUCCAUGACUCAGGUGCCACGUUCCGUUAGUCAGCUUGACGUCACGUGAUUUAUAUCACAAUAUCAUAAAAUUGUAAUUACAAACAGCUUGAAAGUCAAAGAGCUUCUCUCUGGAAAUAUCAGUUUUGCCCAUCAAAGUGACUUUCUUUUGGUUAGUCAAAACAUAUUGUGGUAGUAACAAAUCAGUUUGUUGUAAGGUGUAUUACUUUAUGAAUACCAAAACAUAUAUGUUCUACUAUAAAAGGCAGUUCAUUCAUAUAUCUUACCACACUAGACACAAUCAAAGAUUAGGCCACUGCCUUUCUAAACAUAUAUUCUUCUUUAACUAAUACAACUUCAAUUGUUAAAAUGAAGGCCUUUCCAUAGAAGAAGCAAAACUAAAGUGGUCUUUCGCUGUUAAAUCUUCCAGUACUGAACACCUUUCCUCCCAGUGGCUGACAAGCUUCUGGACCAGCUCUUGCCCCAGUGCCUUUGUUUGCUCCUGUUUUCCUGCUCGCAUUGUACCGCAGCCGCCUAGCAUUGCUGGAAAAUGCUUUUCUUUUCCUGUUGGUACCAAUCUGAAUACAGAGCAGACAGUGAGUUUGCUGACACCCAUACUUAAAUCAGAAUAAUUUUUCUUAUCCAGUACAUUUGUUUCUAUGACCUUGGUGACAUAUUUAUAGAAUUCAGUUUUUCUGAGGGAGAGAGACUGGUUUGUGUUUGCUUGUGCAACAGCUGUGCUUUGUCCUUUAAAAAGACAAUAUAGUCCCUACGCCUGGCUAUUUUUAAACUACAUAGGUCACACUGGUCAUCUAAAAAUAAAUUUCUAAUAUUCACAUGUAGUGCACAUAGAACCAUCAUUUGACCAAAUAUGGUAGCAUAAAGGGGACCUUAUCAGGUCUUUGCCUUCUAUAGUGUCAAUAAUGAUCUAAAAAUACACAACAAAACCACAAACAGACCCUGUACUUCCUGUUUGCAAAACACCAUGGGCAGAAAUUAAUGCUUUUGUGCAAAUAGAGACUGGACUGGGGAUACACUCAGACUUCUCCCAGCAGUAAUAAAAUAAUGUUUUUUACUUCCCCAAAAGGAUCUGGUUAAUCAUAACCCCUGUACAGCAAGAAAGCCCAGUAUUUUGAAGGGAAGAAUAAUGCUGGGAUGUAAAACAAAACUGAUAUUCAGAAAUACCCAUGAAAGAUCUCUCUUUUAAAUAAGCAUAAUCAAGACAUGUUGACGUCAAGCUUUCAAAUCAGACUUUAAAGACAAGCACAAAACUUCUAGUCUAUCUGAUUCCCAAGGCUUUACGGUUUCUUUUUUGUCAUUGAUGCUGGCUCAGAGGCCCCAGAGGACCUGAACUGCUCAGACCCAAAGCAAUCUCCAUAAAAGAGCAGACCCAGAUUUUGGCUAUCUAGGCUUUCUCAAAAAAAACAUGCCAAUCUGGCUAAGAAAAAGCACCAUGGGUCAGCUAACAUGCAGACAGCUGGAGUCUAUAGGCUUUGGCAAGAUGUUUUAAUUUCGAUUAACUGGGCAUUUCUUUGACAAAAAGCAGAACAGAAAAGGUUUUCCAGGGACAAGUCCUUAUGAAACCUCUAUCUGUCAUAGUUUAAAAGAACACCGUGAGCAGUAGAAUUAAGAAGGUUUGGUUUCUCAUCGAUUUGUAUUUCACAAAUGGCCACCUCGGUGGACUUAAUCAUUUUUAGCACGGCAUGAGCUGGUGGGUUGAACACACAACACACAUCACUGUAUCAAAAAGAUUUUUGGUUACAAAGCGUACAGUACAGACAUUUACCCAUACAGAAAGCUCUGAUCUUUUGCUUAUACAGCUGUAUAGCUAAAUUAAUGUGCUCCAUUCCUGUGCUAUUAUUCUGUAGUUGGAAGCAUCAAGUGCGUUGCACAUAACAGUAUUAAAACUAAAUUAGCAGGAAUUUUAAUAAUCUAAGAUUUUAAGGAUUAAUCCUACAGACCUCAGUGCAGAUCUUUGGUUUCGAAAGUAGUCAGGGCCACUUUAUUUUUAUGAACUGAACCGGAAUAUAUCAGUCCUUGUUUUGAAAACCUCUCAAGAAAUAUUUCUGUAUGACAGAAUGUGGAUGGUAAUGGGAUAUUUUUAGUGUAAUGUUUGAGUGCAUCACAAGUCUGCUUGCAUUCCUCCAGAAGAGAAUGAGUCAUUAUGCGUGAAUAGAUACGCAAUAAAUUUAACUUGCUUUUCUGCUCAUGCGGUACUAUAAAGCAAAACAGAGUUUUCUGAGAUAUGGUUUUUACUGAAGUUCAUUCUUCACUGAGACUAUAUUUUUUAAUUUAAUAUAUCUAUCACCUCCAUAUCUAGUAAGUAAGGUAACUCGGUGGUUACCUUGGAUCAUAAAGCCAAUGGGGCAGAAGGAACUCACAGAAAGCAUAGGAGAAAGGUCUGUUCACAGGCAGAGAUCUAAUGGUUCUUGCACAUACACAGAUUUUAAAAGGCCAGAAGGAACCCUUCCAUCAUCCUGCCUGUUUUCUGUAGGAAUGUCCUCCAGUGUCUCCCACAAAUUGUAUUUCAAGCAUUUUCCAAAAAGAUACUCUAUAUGUAAGGACUUAAAGAGGUGGACAAUUUUAUAUUUGGCCUUUAUGGGAGAUCUGAAACUUAGAUGUUUGCAAGUGUCCCAAAAGUGUAGCUUACACAGAAUAACCUAUUUAAUGAGGUUUGUGGCAUUCAUUCAUUUUUAUUCUGACUGUUGAGAUCUUCACAGAGAGGGGACAGGAAAGGAAAGGAAAUUUGUGGUGAUGAAGCCUAGUGUGUCUCUUUUGGUUACUGAAUUAAUGCUUCCAAAACAUGGAAUGAAAGCCAGUGAGUUUUUUUAAGGUAGUGUAGGAAAGCUGGAAUAUCAGAAGGCCUUCCUUGCUUUAGCUGCAGUGUCAUUUUCCUGAGGCAAAAGAGACAAUAAAAAUGUAGGGCCAAUAAAUUGACCUUCAUCUUGCUACAGUGAUGUGCUCAUCCCAGCCAUUAAUUUGACAUUGUUCUGGUUCCUGCUUCUGGCUGAAGGUUUCAGCUGGGACAGUGUCAUAGUUCUUUGACAGUUCAAAGUAUAGAGCAUCUCAGACACAGGAAGAAGAGCUUCUGCAUUUCAUUAAACAGCUUUAGAGGGCAUGAUGGAAAACUGAGGGGUAUGAAGAGAUUUCAAAUGCCAAUAGAGACAUUUAAAGCAAGUUUCUAGGCUCCACUUUAAAUUCCACUCCUGGCCUACCCGCGCUUGGCAUCAUCUUUGAGCAGCACAAAUCUGAGGAAAGGAAAGGAAUGUGAAUGAGCCCAUUAGCACAGAUCUCAUAGAUCUUAUGCUUUAGGGACUUAGAAAUUGACAGCAUAUGUUGGUAAAAAGCCUGAGAGAUCAGCCAGGACAAUAAGUUCCUGUUAGGAAACAGCUUGCUUAUCUGGCUUUAAUUUGCUGCAACUGGGUUGCCUGUGUAAGUGUAUGUGGCUACACAUGCACGUAAAAAUACUUUCACUGCCCCAUGCAAUUCCAACCAGACAUACAUGGCAUCCUACACCCCUUGACUGGCAUGCAGCACUCCUGAGUAAUGGAACAGCUAUUUCUCCUUUCAGAUGCACAGCAACAGGAAAUUUAUUUUAAACUCAUUCAGUUUGUGUAAUUCCUCAGGUCUCUUUCCAGCUGGAAGUUGGUUGGCAGGCACGCAUCAGCCUCAAGCCUUUCUCAAACACAGCCUUAUGCAGUUCAUCAGAGUAGGCUAUUAAAUAAGAAAAGUCAAGCCACAAAUGAGGAUGGAUUGGCUGCGGAUGCUGCUCAGCCUGUGCUGUGAGCACUCACUACGUUCCAUCCACACAAGGGUCACAGCUCAUUGCCAGAAAAGGGAACAAUGCUUCAGAGGGGUCACAGCACAGGAUGCAGUGGAAUGUAUGUGCUGGGUGGCAUCACUCAUUGACCAUCUUGUAGUGCUAAAAGCCAGCAGACUCCUGCCUUAUCAUACAUGUAUGCCACACACAGGUGACCCAAUGUCCUCAGCUGUGAGCUCCAUAACAAAAUGUUUGGUCAAGGAAAAACAAACACUUAGAGAACCAAGAACAGGAGGGUCCUGGAGUAGCUGCUCCACUAUUGCCACAUUGCUCUAAGAGGUUGCAAAGGUUGUAUGGGAAGCUUGGUCUUGGGGAGCCUAGUGAUGUCAAUUAGUAGUUGCUGCUUUAUUUCACUCUGCCAACAAGGAUUUAAAUGAUCCAGUAUUUCCCAUGCCAGCACAACCCUGUAGUCAGCUUGAGACCCAGGCAACUCAAGCAUUUGGCUUUUGCAUUUGGCAUGGUAGACAUGGCUUGGCCAACUCUAUCUCAUAUUUGUCCCAGUUCCCCGAAACAGCAGCCAGGGGAUUUCUAUUAUAUUUCCUGAGAGAAAUUCCAGUAUAACCAAAAAACAACUCAAAACGAUUUCCUGUGAAUUUUUUUAUGGUACUUAGCAUAUCAUCAAUCAACCUAACCCAGUCAUUUAAAUGAACAACUCAUAUGGCAAACUAUAUGUUUGAAAAUAUUUCUAAAGGGUUAAUAUCUUUGUAAGUUUUUUUUGUUUGUUACAGAAUUCAAGAAGUCAACAGGCUGCCUAUAAACAUCAAAAGCAUCUGCUGCAGAUGUCCUGAGAGCCAUUUAUAAACACAUAGUACUCAUAUCUGCACAAUGUUGAUUAUAGAUAUUACUAAUAUUUAAAGCUGUGUAUUUAAAGAGACUGUCAUCAUUACUCUUGAGUGACUUUGUUGAAGAUCAAAGUAUAGCUGGUUCUCUGGUACAAGAAGGAGAGCAAGACUACUCAACUGGCCAUGGCCAUGCUACAAGGGUGGCACUGGGGAGGAAUAGGAGCACAAUAUUUUUGCAGUUUUAAGGGCUUGAAUGCACACAGCAUUCAUCAGCCAAAGGGUUGGUUUGCAUUCACUGCAGAGGAUAAGCCCUGUUACUGUUUAGGCAAAAGCAAAACUCUAGAACUAGAGUUCAACUUGCAAAGUAAAAUCCGGUGUCAAACUGUAAUUAUCACAAAAGCCGGAACUGUGGUUCACAGUUUGUUGCCACCUCUUGUAACACAGGUCUGGCUGGACGUAAAUGAAAUUUGAUUUAUUUACUGAUGGAAGAAGUUAGGGCAUGACAACUACGAAUACUGAAGUAUGUUGAGAUAUUUGUGGGGCAGGGACAGGAAAAGAAUCAAUACAUACAGGUACUGGAACGGACAUAAAAUUUCUCUCCCUUAGGAAACUCUGCUCCAGUUAUGUCAGGAAUACAAAUCGAUGCUUCUAAAUUGGUUUAAGUUUUGUUUUGUACUUGGCUGCACUAUACCACUAUGUAUUUUUUGGUUAAAUAAAUGGAUAAUAGUUUCAUUUUAUUUUAUUGGUAGCAGUAUUUCUGCAUUUAAACAAACACUGAUACCAUUUGCAGAGCUUUCUGUUGGUGCAAUAUGGUUGUCUUGUCUCAUAGACAACAAUGUAAGGCUGAGAAAUGCUUUCUGUUCUUGAAAUAAAAAUCAGAACAUUUCUAAUUCACUAUUAAUUCAACUUUUAUUUUCAAUAAGGAAGAGCCAAAGACUGGCAUGCUGCUCAGCCUCACCUUGAUCUCUGGGAAGACAAUAGAAGAAAAUAAUCAGAGGAAACCAUUUUCAAACAUACUAAGUACAAGUAGGCUAUUGGAAAAGGUCAGCAUGGAUUUGCAAAGGGAUGCCUUCCCACCUCAUCCAUUCUGUGUUGUCUGUGAUUGAAGAUGAAAACUGAUCUAACUCCUCUUAACCUGACAAAUCCCAUAAUACCCCUUGUACACAUGGGAAUUUAUUAACUAAAGAAGUAAUAGAUGGACUACUAAUUGCAUUCAGUCAUCAUCACAUUUAACUCAUUAAGUAUCUCAAUAAGAAUUCUUGGUAGAAUAUAAAAACGCAGAUAUCCAGGUUCAGGAAGCAAAAUGUGAAAUUCAAGGUCCCAGAAGUAAAAAGGCAAAGAGGACUGGUGAGUGCAGUGUUUUGUUAUGCCAUUACUUGUUGUGCAAUUUGCAUUGAAAAUGUGAAAUAUUAAACACAAAAAAAGCAGUUGCCAGGCAGAGGAUCAAUUGUGCACUUGCCUUAAUACCCUGUGAAUCAGAGUGCAUCCAUUGGUGUUCAGGAGCUGAAACUCUUAAUACCCUGGCAGGAUUACUUGGAUUGGUGGCAGGGGAAUGCGUAUCUGUGUAUAUGCAUGUUUAAAAAUUUCCUACUCACUUCCUGCUCUGAAACACAUCAGGGAAUGUUUUCUUCUCAUUCCAUGGCUCUCAAUGGGAAAAUAUAUACCUUUAUCUCCCAUUUUAUUACAAACACAUUGUUUUGAGCAAAUUACAGCUCUGGAAUAUUGACUGCCUCUCUAAAAAAAAAAAAAAAAAAGUGUAAUGAUAAUUAAAGGUAUUUCAAAGCAUUUAGCU